ACGCACACACACAAAGAGUUGCCUUGAGAAAUCAACUGCCGUUUUACUGCUUUGCCAGCCUCCCACCACCCGAGGGCGCUAGAACGAGUCCAGCGCUGACUUCAUCUACAAAAAGGAGGGGGCAGACGUAUUUAUUUGAGGGUGGUCUUUCAAUUUUCUUGGUCAACUACCGCAAAGCCCUUUUUCUUUCUCGGACCAAACUAGAGCUCGAAUGAUUUAUUAGCUGGCCGGUAUUAGUGCUUUUCAAAUUGAUACUACCAACCCCACCUAAA